GAUGAACGCUGGCGGCGUGCCUAAUACAUGCAAGUCGAGCGAACGGACGAGAAGCUUGCUUCUCUGAUGUUAGCGGCGGACGGGUGAGUAACACGUGGAUAACCUACCUAUAAGACUGGGAUAACUUCGGGAAACCGGAGCUAAUACCGGAUGAUAUUUUGAACCGCAUGGUUCAAAAGUGAAAGACGGUCUUGCUGUCACUUAUAGAUGGAUCCGCGCUGCAUUAGCUAGUUGGUAAGGUAACGGCUUACCAAGGCAACGAUGCAUAGCCGACCUGAGAGGGUGAUAGGCCACACUGGAACUGAGACACGGUCCAGACUACUACGGGAGGCAGCAGUAGGGAAUCUUCCGCAAUGGGCGAAAGCCUGACGGAGCAACGCCGCGUGAGUGAUGAAGGUCUUCGGAUCGUAAAACUCUGUUAUGAGGGAAGAACAUAUGUGUAAGUAACUGUGCACAUCUUGACGGUACCUAAUCAGAAAGCAACGGCUAACUACGUG
rnacentral:rRNA from 1 species